UACGGAGGGAGCUAGCGUUGUUCGGAUAUACUGGGCGUAAAGCGCACGUAGGCGGCGCCGUAAGUCAGGGGUGAAAUCCCGGAGCUCAACUCCGGAACUGCCUCUGAAACUGCAGUGCUAGAAUCUUGGAGAGGCGAGUGGAAUUCCCAGUGUAGAGGUGAAAUUCGUAGAUAUUGGGAAGAACACCGGUGGCGAAGGCGGCUCUCUGGACCGAGACUGACGCUGAGGCGCGAAAGCGUGGGGAGCAAACAGG
rnacentral:rRNA from 1 species